AACUGAAGGACUGAAUCUUGUGACAGUUGGGAUUGGUUCUCGGCUUUCUUCUCGCGGUUAUACUUGGAGCAGGACUGCAUUUUGGAGCAAGAGUAUUUACAAAAGACGAUAAAGUUUUACACCUAAUUAGCAUAGGACUUCCGUUUGUGGCAGGAACACAACCAAUAAAUGCCUUAGCGUUUGUGUUCGAUGGUGUCAACUUUGGAGCAUCUGAUUUCGGUUACGCAGCAGCUUCACUAGUAAUGGUGGCUAUAGUUAGCAUCUUGUGUUUGCUCUUUCUCUCAUCGACUCAUGGGUUUAUUGGACUUUGGUUUGGUCUCACCAUCUACAUGAGCCUUAGAGCAGCCGUUGGAUUCUGGCGGAUUGGGACAGGAACAGGACCGUGGUCUUUUCUUAGAAGCUGAUAAAGAAGGAAUUUUAAAGGGAGGAGCAUGUUUUUAAUUGUUCUUAAAACCUUUACUGAGGUUGUAAUUAAAUAAAUAAAAAACAAAGAGUAUGAGUCUGGAGAUAUAAAUAAUGCUAAGCGAUUUUACUGCU